CUUCAUCGUUUCUGUGCCUUCAACCGAAAUCGACGAUUCGAAAUAUGGUUGGAUUACAUCGAACGGAUAUCCGUGAGAGUUCAGUCGUUUCAAUUUUGAGAAUGCCCACUCAUCAAAAUCGAAUUCGAGAGGUUCAAGGUUUUAAAGAAUUUUGUGGAUGUUCGCGCUCGAUCGUUCUGCCGCCAGGAGGUACGGACUAUGGAUCAGUAAUGAGCAAGCGGCCAGACUUCUUAGAAUUCCGUGUGUCAGGCAGCGAGAAUAGUGACCUACGCAUGCAGAGCGUUCAGAAGCGCGCAAGCGUGAGCAUGAGCUCUACGUAAUUGGCGAUAUAUUGGUGAUGUCGAGCUGACGAAAAAUUUUAAAAGUUGUGAAACGUUUCCUUUUUCAAAUUAUCCAUCACAAGUUGAAACGUUGAAAGGUGGAUACACGGUUACCGUAUUGUAACACAGCAAUUGGGUAAUAAUAAUAAAUCUACGAAAAGAUGAGAGCCAUAAAUACGAUGAGCCUUAAACACCGUGCCCCUUACGCCAUAAGCACGUGAUUACGAUAUCCUUGGUACGGCAUGGCGCUAUUAUGACACACUUACGUUAUAAUAAUACGGUUACGACCAGUUUUUACAGUGAUAAGUAAAGGAAAAUUCGCCUUUGUUGGUUGUAUAAAUUACUGCGAUUAAAUGCAAUUUAAUUAUAAUGCACACCGUAUCGAAAUACAAGCAAAUUUGUAACGACGAUCGAUUUCUCCCCCUUUAUACACGUUGGUUCAGCGAGUUUAUCCGUAUUGCAUCUGGGAUCAAAAUCCGCGGAGAAAAAUUAAUGAAUGGUAUAUUCACGCGCGGAAUUAAAUUCAAUUUUCAUCAAUAUCCACGCGGAUGAAUUACGUGAAACGCAAAUAUAAUUUUAUUAUCGGUAACACUUUUCAUCGUGUUCUUCACCGAAGAAACGUUACACGACGAAAAUAAUGAUUGAAUCUCGAAGUCAAGUUUUUUCUCGAUAUUCUUAAAUCACAAAAAUGUAUAUCUUCGAAUUUUUUAUCGGACUUGUGUACACGAGCACACAGAGAAGUUCUACGAUAUUUCUCUACGUUUUCUUACUCACUUUACUCUCGCCUCGCACCGAAGGAUAUCGCCGAAAAUCGAUCGCGGAGUCCCUCGGGGCAGUGAGAAGGCCGCUAACGAGAGCCAGGGAACUCGGCGGCAAGAAAAUGAGCGAGCGUAACAGCAAGAAAACAGGUUGGGAAUAUCGCACGGUCUGACAGGAGGGCUUUACGUGCGCCGCUGCUGAUUACGGGCGCGAUCGAGGCCCCGGCGUAUCUGGCAGCGCGCGGCGCAUCUCGUAAUCGCGAUGCACCGCCAGUUUUUGCGGCGCGUCUAACGCGCGAGCGGAACGGUGGCACGAUUUCACGCGCAUGCAAGAACGUGCGUACCGUACGUGGGCUGUUACUCCGUACGUACAGGGUGUUCCGACGUAUACAGGCCUGAGCAACCUCGGGCCGAUGGAAAAUGAUAUAAUCUCUCUCUCUCUCUCUCUCUAGAAUAAAAAAUUAAAAUGUCAAUAAAGCAUCGACCGGGGAUCGAUGUGGAUAGCUUAACACACGCGAUUACGGGGGAAUGUAAAUGAACGGCUAUAUCUACGGCUCUUUAGGAACGAAACUCGAGCGAAGCGGAGCAAAUGGAGAAAAAAAAUUUUUAUUUCAAGUUCAUUUCCCUGUAAGUGCAUUUUACUUCAAUUCGCGGCUCGUUCAUCAAAGUGUUACAACAUGAGGAAACGUGAAACCGACGGGAGGCGAAUUUUUGGCGAAGAUGUGGCUCGACUUUGGAUUCAUCGAAGGCUCGUAAAGUUCGUCGGGGGUUACCUACGUUGUUGCGGAACAAUCUGGAUACACGCUGCCGGAUUCUCCGGCAACGGCCUCUCGAGCUCUUCCACGCGGAAGCAAAGCAUCCACAACGCUUCGCAAGACUUUGCGCCGCUCUAGAGUAUAUUACGCCCGAAACACACGACCGCAUAAAUGGCAUAAAAGUUUCGCGCCGCUGCUCGCCGACUUACUGCAGCUCGUACCCUGCCAACGCUCAUCCGCGGACGCAACUUUCAAUUCUGAUAACAGGGGAAUGGCGCGCUUACACAUCCGACACGAUGCUAUCGUCCUCAUUGUACAUUGCGCGAUAUCGAACGUUGUUUGCGGAGGGGCUACUUUUGGAGCGACCGAAGUAGAUAAAUUGAAGUUCAUUAUACUCAAUUUUCUCUCGUUCUCGUCCGCGCAACGCGUAUUUGCGAGGAAAGGAUACAAAUUCGCUCAAUAUUCUUAUACAUUAAACCCGUAUAAUGAUGCUAAUUGAAUUAAUGGGUCUAUUUUUAAAAAAUCCACCUUCAUAAACACGGUUGACAAAAAAUCCCAAGUUUUUUACGUUCAAAAUUACAAAAGAAUAUAAAGAUUUCCUCUUCGACUAUAAAUUAUUUCAUUGCACAGUGCAAUGACUGUUUCAUGGAGUAAUUAACUUAAUUAUAUCAGCGGUUUUUUUUAUACAACUAGCGUGUGGCGUAAGAAACAUUAAAUUAGAAUAUCAUGCUGUUUUUCACCGAAAAUGUAUUGAAUAUUUCUAAAAAAAAAAAAAAAAAGAAUCGCAUAAAAACGUGGGUAUUUCCUGAAAAUAUUUACUUGAUAACGAAUGCGAAUGUUGAUUAAAACAUAUGAAUGCGAUACAUAAAUUGGAUGUACUGUUACUACCCAUCUGUCUGCAAAGGUGUAAUCUAUUGGGUAUUUACUCGUUUCGAGAGCAAUUCUACCGGGCGCGGAACUCGAUAUUUUAUUGCUACGAAUGAUCCUUAUAGGACGGACGCACUACUCACAAGGACUCGUCGUGUCGAGAGAGAUGUUCGCGAAGCGUAACGAGAAGUCGUCGGAGCGAGUCGCCCUGUCUUCUUGUAAAAGAAAAAGAAAGAAAGGAAAGGAUGGAGAUCCGCCACUUCCGUCCAA